CCAUUAGGAAAUUUUCUGUCGAACCUAGUACAGAAGAGACGUAAUCUUUCAGUUUCUCUAUUUUCCAUUUUCACCCUCUUCCCUCUUCUUCUCUCCAUUUUUUUUCUUCUUCUCUAUUUUACAGAUUUGUGUUACAGAGUCUAAAUUGAAGAUGGGUAAAACUAAGAGAACAAAGAAACCACGAAGUAGACCACGAACUGAAAGAAAUGAUAUUGAAGAUGACAGGAGCCUACCAGAAAUUUUAAGGUUAAUAUGGUGGGAACUUGCCAGAGUUUAGAGUUCAGAAACUGUGCUAGACAGGAGAUGGGUCUGGAAUCUUGUUUUUCAGGUGGCAAAAGGAAGUGCUGAUACUAUCAUUUUAGAUGACAAUUUUUCCACAAUUUAAAUUGUAGGCUGCCAAAUGGGGGUGUUGUGUCUGCAUCAACAGUCAGAAUUUUUGUACUGGGUCAAUGUCAUGGACACACUUGGAGCACUUCACUGGAAACUGAUUCUCCAAGUGAGGAACUAAUGAAGAGAACUCCAGUUGGAAGGACAUGCAAUUUUAUCAGUAUUGUGAUAUGAGGGAACAUCAUGGGGAAAUCUCUUUAUCAAGUUUCUGUACUGUCGUAUCUCCGGGUCGCAGGAAAAGCAGCAUUCAGUCUUCAUGGGCCUGAAUCUGAUCUGGUUCUGAUUACUCUGAUACUCAACUCUUUCGUAUUCUGUCAGUGUUUGAAUGAAAUACGUUCAUGGGAGAUGGAAAAGAUUGGCGUUCUUAAAGUGUCUUCAUUGGAUUGCUAUGAAUGCCAGUUGCUGCUGUUGUCAAGAUGAUCCAUGUUGGAAUAUAUCAAACCAUACAACGUAAGAAACAUCAGAAGUCCUGUCACCUCUCUAUAAUCUAUAGACGCCAUCAUUAUAUUAAAGCCGUUUUCACCUGCAACGAUGACAAGCUAAUGGGAUUAAUGACUCCUCUUUUGAUUCUACGUUGAACAUGGGUCUGUGAGAUCCUUCUAGUGAUGUAUUUUUUAGCUGUCUUAGAAGGCCUCCAUCUCUUAGUACUUUUUCAAACCAUUAAUCUUUUUUGGCUAUCAAAAUAUUUCUUAAUUUCAAUUGGAAAACAUUACCUUAAUAAUGCACGAAAUUAGACCAGUAAA